rnacentral:rRNA from 1 species
GAUGAACGCUAGCUACAGGCUUAACACAUGCAAGUCGAGGGGAAACGCCAUCCAAAGCUUGCUUUCGAUGGGCGUCGACCGGCGCACGGGCCAGUAACGAGUAUCCAACCUGCCCAUCACUUGGGGAUAACCUUGCGAAAGUAAGACUAAUACACAAUGAUAUCUCUAGAAGACAUCUGAAAGAGACUAAAGAUUUGUCGGUGAUGGACGGGGAUGAGUCUGAUUAGCUUGUGGGCGGGGUAACGGCCAACUAAGGCAACGAUCAGUAGGGGGUCUGAGAGGAAGGUCCCUGACAAGGAGACAGAGCCACGGUCCACAGUCCUACGGGAGGGAGCGGUACGGAAUAUUGGUCAAUGGGAGAGUGCAUGAACCAGGCAAGUAGCGUGCAGGAAGGCCGCCCUAUGGGUUGUAACCUGCUUUUAUAAGGCAAUAAUGUGAGAGUAGUGACCCUUUUUGUAUGUACCUUAUGAAUAAGCACCGGCUAAUUCCGUG